rnacentral:rRNA from 1 species
ACAAGCGGCGGACGGGUGAGUAACGCGUAGGAAUCUACCUAGUAGUGGGGGACAACAGUUGGAAACGACUGCUAAUACCGCAUACGCCCUAAGGGGGAAAGCGGGGGAUCUUCGGACCUCGUGCUAUUAGAUGAGCCUGCGUGAGAUUAGCUAGUUGGUGAGGUAAAGGCUCACCAAGGCGACGAUCUCUAGCUGGUCUGAGAGGAUGAUCAGCCACACUGGGACUGAGACACGGCCCAKACUCCUACGGGAGGCAGCAGUGGGGAAUAUUGGACAAUGGGCGCAAGCCUGAUCCAGCCAUGCCGCGUGUGUGAAGAAGGCCUUCGGGUUGUAAAGCACUUUCAGAAGGGAGGAAAGGUUGUGUGUUAAUAGCACAUAGCUGUGACGUUACCUUCAGAAGAAGCACCGGCUAACUCCGUGCCAGCAKCCGCGGUAAUACGGAGGGUGCAAGCGUUAAUCKGAAUUACUGGGCGUAAAGCGCGCGUAGGUUGUUUGUUAAGCGAKAUGUGAAAGCCCCGGGCUUAACCUGGGAACUGCAUUUCKAACUGNCAAGCUAUAGUACAGUAKAGGGUAGUUGGAAUUUCCUGUGUARCGGUGAAAUGCGUAUAGAUGGNAAAUGAACAUCAUUGGCGAAUGCCACUGUU